rnacentral:rRNA from 1 species
UACGUAGGGUGCAAGCGUUAAUCGGAAUUACUGGGCGUAAAGCGUGCGCAGGCGGCUUUGCAAGACAGAUGUGAAAUCCCCGGGCUCAACCUGGGAACUGCAUUUGUGACUGCAUAGCUAGAGUACGGUAGAGGGGGAUGGAAUUCCGCGUGUAGCAGUGAAAUGCGUAGAUAUGCGGAGGAACACCGAUGGCGAAGGCAAUCCCCUGGACCUGUACUGACGCUCAUGCACGAAAGCGUGGGGAGCAAACAGG